AACGAACGCUGGCGGCAGGCCUAACACAUGCAAGUCGAGCGAGGACUUCGGUCCUAGCGGCGGACGGGUGAGUAACGCGUGGGAACGUGCCCUUUGCUUCGGAAUAGCCCUGGGAAACUGGGAGUAAUACCGGAUGAGCCCUUCGGGGGAAAGAUUUAUCGGCGAAGGAUCGGCCCGCGUUGGAUUAGGUAGUUGGUGGGGUAAUGGCCUACCAAGCCGACGAUCCAUAGCUGGUUUGAGAGGAUGAUCAGCCACACUGGGACGGGGACACGGCCCAGACUCCUACGGGAGGCAGCAGAGGGGAAUCUUGGACAAUGGGGGAAACCCUGAUCUAGCCAUGCCGCGUGAGCGAUGAAGGCCUUAGGGUUGUAAAGCUCUUUCAGCUGGGAAGAUAAUGACGGUACCAGCAGAAGAAGCCCCGGCUAACUCCGUG
rnacentral:rRNA from 1 species